CCCCUCGGUUCCUGUGUGUCCAACUUGUCUGGUUACAACUACAUGUCUGUUCGUCCACCCAUUGUAAAGCGCUGCGGAAUUUGACGGCGCUCUAUAAAUAUCAUAAUAAUAAUAAUAAAAAUAAUAACUGUGUGUGUGUGUGUGACUGCCUGUAAAUGUGUGUGUGGGGCUGCAGGGAUUUUGUAGAAGGGGUUUUGUAUUGGGAUAGGAGUCUUUAUAAGGGGGGCUGAGCAGGGGAUUUGCGGAAGGGGGUCGCAGGGGUUUUGUAGACGGGGCAGUACAGGAUUUGUAGAAGGGGCAGGACAGGGGAUUUGUAGGAGGGGGCAGGGCAGGACAAGGGUUUUGUAUAAGGGGGCUGACAGCGGUUUUGCAAAGUUUACAAAUUUGUGCAAUACAUAAAAAAAGAAAAAAGAAAAAAAUUAAAAAUUUUU